UUUCUUAAAUUCUACGAUGGCGUGUGAAAAUGAUUGGAACUCCGGUUUAGUCUUCCAUAAGUUUGGGCAGCGUACGUAGUUCGGAGACUUCAUUCCUUCACUAAAUUACUUUUCUGUUCAGAAUGAUAAACCCAAGCAGAGUUUAAAUUGUGUCCAGUGAAAUGACCGACAGUUUUGUUUUGUAUGGUGUAUGCUACAACAAAUGUGCCUGACUAUCAACAAAUAUGAGCAGAAAGACAACUGGAAUAAAACUGAUAAUUUAUAUUACUCAGUAAUAGUGCAGCAACCACACGUAGCAAUAAUUUCUUGUGAUGUGGAUCAUGAAUACAGAAGUACAGACCGUGUACGCCUACUAUGAAAUAUGAAUCUAGAAGAACCUUUAUUAAAUAGAAACUUGCUAGAAAGAAAAAUAUUUGUAUUUCUUGGGACUCCGUUAUGGUCAGAUUGUGCUGUACAUUGAUGAGUCCCCGCCUUUCUGAAGAUUUGGGGCUGAGGUCAUCCAAGAAUUAGAUGCUGCUGCAUUGUGACUUUUAUGUUUAAUAAAGUAUAUUUACAACCUGCA